CCCACCCCGCCUAGGCCCUGGGUGUCCCUUCUCCAUCCUCCCUGGCGCCUCUGCCUCAGGCCACCUGGCCGUCCUCCUGGGCUCCCCGCUCGGGGGCGGCCCCUGGUCCGACGGUGCCGCAGACGCGCGCGCACAGGCCAGUCCCGCGGAGAGGCUGCUCUCAGGGGCUAGGCGGGGGGCUGAGUCAGAGGCUGGGGCCUGCCAGGAGCGGGGCGGCCUGGGGCGCAGCAGCAUUGGAGCUGAAGGCGAGGGCGGCCCGCGCCGGUUGGGGAGCAGGGCCUAGAAUUUACUUCACGACUACCAGCGUGGAAACUGCAGAGGGGCUGCCACAUCGCUGCCAGGGCCUGCCCUGGGGCCUUGGAUCCCGCCGGCUUCUCUCUCCACCCGCCUCUGUCCCACGUCUCCACCUGCCGUCCUGUUUGGUGCUUGGAUCCACUAAUGCCCAGUCAGCUUUCACGAAACGUCGGAUGUCAUCAAUCUCCAGGUGGUCCUCAGUGAGAGAUAGGUCCUCUCAAUAUUCAAGAGCCACCCUUCUACAGGGGACCCCUGGACUGCCCAUCAGGGGGACAGGACAGAGGCACAAUCCUGCCCGUCUCCCUGGAUACCGCUCCCUGGCUGGCCACCACUUUCACUAACCCAUGGAGCCAACCGUGCCCUGACAGCAAGAGGCCAAUACUCACAGAACCACCACCGCUGCCCCUCUGUCAGCAGACAGCAGUUACAGAAGACUGACCUUUGUCCAUUUCCCUCAAGAACUGGGGUCUUGGCCUCCUGCGGGGGGAAAUGUUAGUGUGGGUAGCUAGGGGGUAUGAGCAGGGCAGGAGAGGGCUCCCCACCACCACACACACACAACAGGUGUGCUGGCCACCAUGAGGUGAUGGUCAGGUAGUUGUUAACUGUCUCUAAAGUAAUAAUUGGUCACAGCCAGCGCCAGGGAAAGACAGCCUCCUAACAGAUAGACAACAGCUGAAGCUGGUGAUCAGCAGCUUCCCGUUAAGAUCUCAGGAGCUGGGUGGGUGGGGAGAAGUAACACAAGACCCCGCAUUAUGUCACUGUAUCAAACCCCAAGUCAGAAGGUCAAACCACACACUGGUCUUUCAAGGUGCCCUCCUAGCCUUCUUCCAGGCGUACUUUCCUUCCUCCUUUAAAGCUUUUUAAUAAACUUCACUUCUGCUCUG
rnacentral:lncRNA from 10 species